CCUUAUUGUUACUAGUUGUUUCCGGAAUAACAUGUCGAGGUCAGAACGUCACUUAUGUUUCAAUGUUCGUUGAAGAAACGUUUUCGUAUACGAUUUACGAUUGAAUUGUAUGAUUAGGAAAAAUAUUGAUAUAAAUAAUUAAAAAUGUCGCUUUGCUUUCGUACCAUUUCAAAUAAAUUUACAUCGUUUGUAAAUACGAGAAAACAAGUUACGACCAUCGAUUGUCGGUUGCCAAAAAACAUAAAAUCUUCUUCAUUUUUGAAUGAGUUUUUUGGACCUCAGACUGCGGUGGAUGCAAAAACAAAAUUAACAGAUAGUGAUUUCGAUAUUUACGCAGGUGUCUAUUCAUUCCAUCAAAAAUUGGAAAAAGAAUUGAUUAACAGUUAUAAAAAAAAUAAAAAUGAAAUUGUACAUAUAGCACAGCAGAGCUGUACUAAUCACAGUAGGUUCUUUAAUACGGAACCAGUUUUAAAUAAUUUGUUGCUAUAUAACGUUAGUAUAGAUUGUAAUAAAAAGACGGAAAAUGAAUCUUCAACAAGAGAUAUCUUCCAUAUCGUAAAUAAUAAUAAUAGAUUGCGUUCUAAUAAACAAAUGUUGAGUACUAUUGUCGAUAAUCAUUUGGAGCAAAAUAAUGUUUUACUCACAAAUGGUGGAAUCAUUAAAGCACAAGAAGUUAAUGAUAAACAAUCGAUUCAAAACAGAGAGGGUAGACCAUCCAAAGAACAAUUAGAACUUGUAUUUACUAGUCUUAGAAAUGACUUACCAAAUUUCUUCGUUAAAACAUUAGAUUACACAAUAUAUUCGGAAAAUUUAAUAUUUAUUAAUAAUAUUAAAGGAUUAGAAACGAAGGGUAUUUUUAAUUACAUGAAACAAAUAACUUUUAUAAGAACAAUUGGUCAUUUAAAAUUUGCAUAUAUAAAAUUAGAUGUAUUAAAAAUAACUAUUGAUCCGGAUGAUGAUACGAUAAAAGUACGUUGGCGAAUAAGCGGUAUUACAGGGCUAAGAGCGCUUUUUACGAUAUGGAAAUUUAAAUUUUGGAGAAUAAAGGAAGCUUUAAGCGAUGCAGAAGUAUGGUACGAUGGAUUUUCGACGUAUUAUGUAGGUGCCGAUGGUAAAAUAUAUAAGCAUGUAAUGGACAAAUUGAUGCCCGAUCAAAGUAAACUUUACGAUAAAGAAAAAACAGAAGUUGCUACAAAACUUGCACUAUUCAUAGGAUUAAAAAAUCUGCAAACGCAAAAUAGUUGAAAUGAAUUUAUUACAAUGUUGAAAAAUCAUAUGCUCAUUGUAAAAUGACGAGAAAACUAAAAGGUUACACAAGUAGCGAAAUAAACACAAUUUAUGUACAUUAAUACAAUCUUAUCGACGCUUGUUAAGCGCUGUCAUUUUUCACAGCGCAUCCUUGUAAUAAUGAAAUAGAUUACAUAGAUUUUUGAAAUUUCGUUUAAUUUUAAAUAAUGUGUAAAUAAUUUUGACUUAACAAAAUAAUAUUAAAUCAAUUUACUAUUUGCGAAUCAAUAUAUCUGUCACUAAAAUAUCUUUACUUUUAUUUAUAAACAUUUAUUAACGCAUUGAAUGCCACAGGGAUCAUCAGUGAGCAGUGAAACCAAGAUUAUUAGAAAUAUAAUUCAAAUAAAUUUCAAUGGUUUUGGAUUUUUCAAUAUUAUCAUCGUUAUUACAAUGAUGUGAAGAAAUUCAUUCAAUAUAAAAUAUAUCAAAAUAGUUUCAUUUAUAAUAUGUGACAUGUGUAUGCUUAAAUAUUAUGCAUGCGUAUAGUGGAUGUUUUGUAUUAAACCACUUCAAACAGAGGAAAGGCUCGUAUGUGAAGAAAGGAAAUCUCUUCCAUUGUACUAUCUCGGCAUUUUGUUAAUCGAGCCAAUACAAAAAAAUGCAUUUCAACACCGCACAAGUUACGUGUGACCCCCCCAGUAAGAUAAAUGCAUUGCCAAUAAUUAUAAACUUUAACUUAUCUGUUCUAAAUAACAUUUCAAUAUAAUGUGUAACACAUAACAGUAAGUUCGUGUCUGCAUUAUGGGCAAGCCAUGUAAAAUUAACGUGGCAUUCAAUGUAUUAAAUAAAAAGAUAAAUAAAAUCUUAUAAUAGUA
rnacentral:misc_RNA from 1 species